rnacentral:rRNA from 1 species
UACGGGGGGAGCAAGCGUUGUUCGGAUUUACUGGGCGUAAAGGGCGCGUAGGCGGUCGUGACAAGUCACUUGUGAAAUCUCCGGGCUUAACUCGGAACGGUCAAGUGAUACUGUCGGACUAGAGUACAGAAGGGGCAACUGGAAUUCUCGGUGUAGCGGUGAAAUGCGCAGAUAUCAGGAGGAACACCAAUGGCGAAGGCAGCACUCUGGGACGGUACUGACGCUGAGACGCGAAAGCGUGGGGGAGCAAACAGG